rnacentral:rRNA from 1 species
UACGUAGGCAGCAAGCGUUGUUCGGAGUUACUGGGCGUAAAGGGUGCGUAGGCGGCUUCUUAAGUCUGGUGUGAAAUCUCCCGGCUCAACUGGGAGGGUGCGCCGGAUACUGAGGGGCUAGAGUGUGGGAGAGGAAAGUGGAAUUCCUGGUGUAGCGGUGAAAUGCGUAGAGAUCGGGAGGAACAUCAGUUGCGAAGGCGGCUCUCUGGACCAGCACUGACACUGAGGCACGAAAGCGUGGGGAGCAAACAGG